UACAGAGGGUGCGAGCGUUGUUCGGAAUUACUGGGCGUAAAGAGCUCGUAGGUGGUUUGUCGCGUUGUUCGUGAAAACUCACAGCUUAACUGUGGGCGUGCGGGCGAUACGGGCAGACUGGAGUACUGCAGGGGAGACUGGAAUUCCUGGUGUAGCGGUGGAAUGCGCAGAUAUCAGGAGGAACACCGGUGGCGAAGGCGGGUCUCUGGGCAGUAACUGACGCUGAGGAGCGAAAGCGUGGGGAGCGAACAGG
rnacentral:rRNA from 1 species